UCAGUCUUACCGGUGGAUCACUCGGUUCGUGGAUCGAUGAAGAACGCAGCAAACUGCGAUAAGUAGCGUGAAUUGCAGACGCUUUGAACGUUAAACUUUCGAACGCACAUUGCGCCGUAGGAGUCCUACCCUGCGGCACAUCUGGUUGAGGGUCGUG
rnacentral:rRNA from 2 species